rnacentral:lncRNA from 1 species
GGAGACUGCAGUUUGCAGUGAUGUGGCUAAGAUACCCUUGUGCUAUUAAAGGCACAUUUACGUAUCUUUCAACGCAGUUUGUACCUUUGUUUAGGGUUCUAUUGAACUUUCUCUGUGCUCUUUAGAAAACCGUCGAAUAAAGAACUCAAAUGAUGCUGUUUUUGGACAGGGAGGUCAUGGACCAAGUACAAAGCGGCAAAAGGAUGGAAUUAAGGUACCUGACAUUGUUGAACCCUUGCCUGAUGCCACAUUAGCUCAGGACUACCUACAUGGACAUGUCUUACCUGAACUCAGCGCCUUCCUCCAGUAUCUUGCUAAACAUCACCAACAACAUCCAAUUACACUGAUGAUAAUCUGUUUUUUACCCCAUUCUCUACAGCUGCAGCCUCCUUUGGAAUGGGAUUUGCCUUCCUAGUUGUUGAGUUGUCU